UGUGUCUGUCAGUGUGUGUCAGUCAGUGUUUGUCUGUCAGUGAGUGUGUGUCUGUCAGUGUGUGUCAGUCAGUGUUCGUCUGUCAGUGAGUGUGUGUCAGUGUGUGUGUCUGUCAGGUAAUAUGUGUGUCAGUGUGUGUCUGUCUCUCAGUGAGUCUGUGUCUGUCUGUCAGUUAGUGUGUGUGUCUGUCAGUGAGUGUGUG